AUGAACGCUGGCGGCGUGCCUCAUACAUGCAAGUCGAGCGAACGGACGAGAAGCUUGCUUCUCUGAUGUUAGCGGCGGACGGGGGAGUAACACGUGGAUAACCUACCUAUAAGACUGGGAUAACUUCGGGAAACCGUAGCUAAUACCGGAUAAUAUUUUGAACCGCAUGGUUCAAAAGUGAAAGACGGUCUUGCUGUCACUUAUAGAUGGAUCCGCGCUGCAUUAGCUAGUUGGUAAGGUAACGGCUUACCAAGGCAACGAUGCAUAGCCGACCUGAGGGGGUGAUCGGCCACACUGGAACUGAGACACGGUCCAGACUCCUACGGGAGGCAGCAGUAGGGAAUCUUCCGCAAUGGGCGAAAGCCUGACGGAGCAACGCCGCGUGAGUGAUGAAGGUCUUCGGAUCGUAAAACUCUGUUAUUAGGGAAGAACAUAUGUGUAAGUAACUGUGCACAUCUUGACGGUACCUAAUCAGAAAGCCACGGCUAACUACGUG
rnacentral:rRNA from 1 species